rnacentral:rRNA from 1 species
GGGAAUUUUGCGCAAUGGGGGAAACCCUGACGCAGCAACGCCGCGUGCGGGAUGACGGCCUUCGGGUUGUAAACCGCUUUCAGUAGGGAAGAACAUCGACGGUACCUACAGAAGAAGCCCCGGCUAACUACGUGCCAGCAGCCGCGGUAAUACGUAGGGGGCAAGCGUUAUCCGGAUUCAUUGGGCGUAAAGCGCGCGUAGGCGGUUGCCUAAGCGGGACCUCUAAUCUUAGGGCUCAACCUUAAGCCGGGUCCCGAACUGGGUGACUUGAGUGCGGUAGAGGAAAGUGGAAUUCCCGGUGUAGCGGUGGAAUGCGCAGAUAUCGGGAAGAACACCGAUGGCGAAGGCAGCUUUCUGGGCCGCCACUGACGCUGAGGCGCGAAAGCUAGGGGAGCAAACAG